GGGAACCUCUAAGGAGACCAAGAGGACUGCAGCAAGGACAACAGCAUUUGGGGAGGUGCUACCCACACAGGUUUACUGCCACUGGAGGCCGAGAGGGCUGCCCACUCCGAGAACAACUCCCCACCCCCAAAGGCUGUUUCGGUUUAGCCCGGGAGAAGAUGCGAAGAAGGGCCUGGCAGCGCCCGCGAGCAGCGAGAGGAGGGCCCAAGGUGCGCCCGUCCCCCUUUCCUCCCCUCCGGCUGGAUAAAGUCCGGGCGGGUCCGGUGGUUUUCGUUGCUACGACCACCUCCAGCGGGAUUCAGAGGAGGCCGUCGAGGAGCGCGUGACGCACCUCCUUUCCCCCUCCCUCCGCUCUCUUCUCCCGGAGAACAAAAGAAGAAUUCUUUGCACAGGCUCUAAAACAAAUCAUCUGGUUGGGAAGCCUCUGUUGCUCUAGGAAGGGGGGAGGCGAGCCGCAGCGACCCCCGGAGGAGAAUUUCCCCGCUGCCCGGGUUCGCUUAUACAGCAUUUCAUUAAUUUCUGGGCCAGUCUUACUAAUAGGACAGGGGUCUCCAACCUUGGUCCCUUUAAGACUUGUGGACUUCAGUUCCCAGAGGCUGUAUUGUGACUUCACAUAACAUCUAGAGUUGCCCAGCAUUCAGAGAUUUGCAUGAUUGUACAUGUCAUAACCGGGUGCAUAGCUGCUUCAUAGAACCUCUGAUUGUGGAACGGAGCUCAGAAGGAAAACUCUGCAGUAACACAGAGAAUUUUAUGCCAAUCUGGGGAGAUCUACGAACUACAUGUUAAACAACACCAGCUAUAUGUAGAAGUUAUAAGUUAGUGGACCAGAGGAAUGCUGUCGAUAUAAUUUACUUGGACUUCAGUAAAGCAUUUGAUAAAGUAGACCAUAACCUACGACAAGAUAAAGUAGAAAAAUGUGGGUUAGACAGCACCACCACCAGAUGGAUUCGUAACUGGCUGACCAACCGCACUCAGUGUCUAGUCUUCAAUGGAAUUACAUCCACAUGGAGGGAAGUAUGCAGUGGAGUAGCUCUGUUUUAGGCCCAGUACUCUUCAACAUCUUCAUCAAUGACUUGGACGAGGGGAUAGAUGGGGAACUCAUCAAAUUUGCAGAUGACACCAAGCUGGCAGGAAUAGCCAACACUCCAGAAGAUAGGCUCAAGAUACAGAAAGAUCUUGACAGACUUGAACAUUGGGCACUAUCUAACAAAAUGAAAUUCAACAGUGAAAAAAAUUCAACAGGAUAUCUAGGUUGGUGUUAGGGAAUUCUUCCUUAAUAUAAUGAGAAGUCAUUUUUUGCCUGUCCAGCAACGGAAAACAUCACAAGGAUCAGACACCAAAACUAUCUCAAGCCCACUUGAGAACCAAUGACCCAUAUGAACUAAAGCAAUUGGAAAACCAAUUUCAAUUUCUCAGAAUGGAUUUGGAAUUCCAGAAGGGGAAAAAUAUUUUAAAGUGGAAGUGGAGAGAGAGGAGAAGAGAAUUGGAGUAUGAGGAAUAAUUUCAAAGUUUGGAACUGGACAGAAUGAUGGAAUGAUCAGUUAGGAACUGAGAGGUAAACAGAGGAACAUCAAUCCAACAUUUCCCACUGCUCCUAAGGAAAACUGGCAAGUUCCCAAGGUGAAAUUAGUUACUGUAAGUGGACCUUACUACUGUGAACCUUACCAGAAUUUGAGGGUGAAGUUUUAUCCAUGAGAAAGAGGGAUAUCCCUUAUGUAACUACUGUAUGUGGGUAGCAUAUCUUUUCCUUGGUACAUUUUGGAGGGGGUGUGAGGGCCAGUGGAAUAUAUUUUCCAUUUUAUAUCAGCUAUAUUUUCAGAGUGUUUAGUUUUCUCCUCUUGAGAAUGUAGAAGAUAUAGUGGCUGUUCCAUCACAACAGUGGUGGCAUGUCUCCACCACCGCCCCUCCUUUCCAGAGUUACUGAAGGAUGAGAUUGCAUGUAAUAGUUUUAUGGAUGUGGAAGGAAAACACAAUGCCUAUCAAAACGGAGGAGAAGAGAGGAAGAGAGUUUUCCUCAAAUGUAUCUUCUGCUCUCAUGUCUCCCUGUUUUCAUCAACAAAGAAUUAACAGCUUUCCCCUUAGAAAGUUACGCAUGAUUCUACUUUCAUUUUUCUCUUUCAAGGUUCAGGACAGAAUGGAACUCUUCAGCCAUGAAGAGCAUUUGCUCAAAAAAAUUUCUAUCACUGCUAGUUAUUUCCUGUUUUGAUGGAAUGAAAAAAUACCCAAUUUUCCUUCUUUAUUUUUCCAAAGAGCCAAAUAACACUGGAAAAGAAUAUCUCCCACCUGCUCUCCUUUCCAUAUUAAUCCGAAUAUAACAAUCAUUUAUGUUAUUUGUGUGUGUGUGUGUGUGUUAAUUUCUGAUGUACAUCACAUGUUGUUCCUUUGGGAUCUUGGCAUAUUAAUCUUCUUGAUUUGCGGGGCAGGGGCAGAGUAUUUAACUUCCCUUUUUCUUGUCUGCAUCACUCUCCAGUCCUACUCCUUCUACCCCCAUUCUUCAUAUUUGUAUUCUGUAGAAGCAGCUGAAGAAAGGAAGCCUGCUGUACAAGAGUAAAAAUAGAUCCGGCAGUUACUCAGCUCCUGAGAACAUGAUGGUAUGACUCACGAGUCUACUUCUGACUCGUGAAAACAAGUUUCUAAUUACACGGACUCUUUAAUUAAAAAAGAAAGAAAAGAAAAGAAACCACAGAUUCUAACAUUUGGAAUUUUUCAGAACGUUUUAUCAAGGACUUAAUAAAGAGGAGUGCAUGAAUUCUGUUAAAUAAAUACAAAAGACUGAUUACCACUUAAAAACAAAACAAAACCUUGUUUUGGCAACUGUAGCCAGGACCAGCCUAUUCCUCUCUCCACUCCCACUCCCCAUUCUGUGUUCAUGCAAGGAACAGGUGAAACAUGCUAUGCAUUCGCACAGUCUUUUUUUGUUUUUGAACUGUAAAAGUUUAACAUUUUCCUCUCUCUUUUUUUGCCAAGAAUGGAAAAGGGAGGGGGCAUUCCUUUGGAAUGUGGCUUCUAUCUCCCAUGGUAGUUGAUUAUCCAUUCAGCAGAAGCAUGGAGGUGGGGGAAGCACCAGAUCUGUACUAUCCAAGAAGCGGGGGAAGAAGCAGCAGCAGCCACAAUCUGAAUCACAGAUGGAAAAUAAAUAACAAAACUGAGGAGCAGAAAAGGGGGGAAAUGAUUUCCUCUAAGUUACGGGGAAGCUUUUCAAACAGGUAAGAGAUGAAAGGCAAUCCACCCGUGGGCUAUGCAACCAGUGAUCCAUGAAUCACGGUUUCUAAUUCUAUCCCAGACAGAAAAGGAGGAUCAGGCAAGCAGUGAUGGAGAAUGGUGAUAUACUGUAAUGAGGGAUCAGUGGUGGAGAAUGAAAACUACCGCUUGGAGAGAAAUUCUUUCAGACUUGGAUGGAGUCCUGGAGGAGAUUUGAUGCACCUGGAGGAUGCCCUUUGAGCUCCAGUAAACAGACUGUUGCCCUCCCUAGAUAAGAUCCAAGUCAAUUAGGUGUCUGCUGAUUUGAGAUUCUCUCAAAUCCAGAUUGAAUUUGUGGACAGUGACUGAACCUUUGUUCCAAGGUAAUUUAGAAAGAAGGGAGUUCAUGUGAUGCAUGUUUUCCUAGGAGGUAAACAAUAAAUGUUGCUUCACCUUCCAGACCCUUAACUGUAAAAGACAUGCAAAGGGUGCCACAUUCACAGAGCUGCAAAUCCAAGCCUUGUUUUUAUUUAAAGAUAUGAAUUAUUCUGCAAAUAUUCUGCAAAGAAGAAAAUCUGCAAACUCAUUGCAUCUGCACACUGAACAGCCCAGUUGAAAGUGAAAUAAGUAAAACUAAAAUUUUCACCAUUUAUACUGAUUGCAGAAUUUGCAUUCUCCUUGUGUGUCUACAGAACAGGAGCCACUUUUCUCUGCCUCCUUUUCCAUGUUGUUUGUUGCUUGUCAAUCAAAUGUUUCAUGUAAAGGCCACAUUCACUUGUUCAGCAGCCAGAACAAAAACGAAACGCAGCUAGUAAGAUGCAUUUGAAUUAAUUAUUCUUGAGUUAUAUUUCCCUGCCUUUUGCAAGAUGCUGGGUUCCCCCUACUAAAAUCCAUACUAAGAAGCCUUUGUUUUUAAAAUUACAAACAAUAAAUGAGUAGCUCAGUGGUGGGUUUCAAAUUUUUUUACUACUGGUUCUGUGGGUGUGGCUUGGUGGGCAUGGCAUGGCUUGGUGGGUGUGGCAGGGGAAGGAUACUGUAAAAUAUGCAUUCCCACCCCACUCCAGGGGAAGGUUACUGUAAAAUCUCCAUUCCCUCCCCACUCCAGGGGAAGGAUACUGCAAAAUCCCCAUUUCCUCCCGAUCAGCUGGGAGUUGGGAGGCAGAGAAUAGGUGGGGGUUGGGCCAGUCCGAAUUUUUACUACUGGUUCUCCGAACUACUCAAAAUUUCUACUACCGGUUCUCUAGAACUGGUCAGAAUCUGCUGAAACCCACCUCUGGAGUAGCUGUUAAGAUUCUGGAGGAAAAUUAUAUAUACAUUUUAAUCAGCUCCUUUGAGUCAAUUUCCCUUCCCAUCAUUCAUUAGCAGGCUGGGUGCCAAAAUGACCCUCUAAUGCCUUAUCUACCAGUGGAAUAACUUAUUUAUGUCCUGGAACACCUGGCAUUUAUUUAUGGUAUGAUGAGCGCUUAAAUCUAUUACCACAAAAAGUUCCAACAUAAUAUAUCAACUUUCUGAAUUCACCUCUUUAUAUUUAUUUACUUAUUUGAUUGGAUGAUUGAUUGAUUGAUUUCUGCACUAGCUGACUCCAAAUUGACUUGGCCAGUUCACACUAUAAAAAAACACACCCACACCCAUAUUAGUUACCUGAAGGUACAGAAAAAUGCAACAAAAUAAGAUGGAAAUUUAGACAACCAACUCAAAAUACAGUAAAUGCCAAAGCUUCCAUCCACUACUACCUCAAUGGCUGGGAGAACAGCCAAGACUUUCCAGAACACCAUCAGAGUGGGAGUCAUCAAGAUCUCGGGGCGGGGGGGGGGCAUUGUCCUUCCAGAGAGCAAAUUAAAUUAAAUUGAAUUUGGAGGUAGAAUGUGUAGUAGACUACCACUGCUAUAAUUGAAUGGUGUCACCUUCUCCUUGUGCUGAUCUUCCAGCCUCUCUUAUAUUAUGAAUAUAUGCGUCAUACCAGACUGCAUUAAUGCUACACUAUGCAUGAUAAUACUAACUUUUCUCCCACUGGCAAACAAACUUGACAAUUUUCUCUGUAGCUUCUGUAGCACAAAUAGCUAAAUUGGUUUUUUUUAAAUCAACAAUCGGUAUCAAUAUCUUGAAUGAGUAUUGUCUUGUGGCUAAAGACCCACAAAAUACAACUGAGCAAGAUGGGAGGUAUCAAUAAAGGAGAAUGUUCAUAGCUCAGGAUUGAAAUGAGAGGCCCCUUGGUGCUCUCUGGGCUUGCUUGUUUUCUUGUAGAUGUUUCAUUAUCCUAACAGCACUGAUAAUGUUACCUAGUUAGGAUAAUGAAACAUCUGCAAGAAAAUAAGCAAGUUCAGAGAGCACCAAGGACCCCUCAAUGGGAGGUAUAUAAAACAUCAGGUGUAUCAAUUAAUCUAUUAUUGAAACCCUGUUCUAGAUUCUUGUGGAAGUACCCACCCACUCCCCAGAAAAACAAACUUAAAACAAAAUUUUGUAUUGCCCCACAACCUGUAUCAAGAUCACUUGGCGGCCGUCUCCAGGAGAGCCUUUUACCAGGUUCGCCUGGUUUGCCAGUUGCGUCCCUUUCUGGACCGGGAUGCCUUAUGCACGGUCACCCAUGCUCUCAUCACUUCUCGUCUGGAUUAUUGCAAUGCUCUCUACAUGGGGCUACCCCUGAAGUGCACUCGGAGGCUCCAGUUAGUCCAGAAUGCAGCUGCGCGGGUGAUCGAGGGAGCUGCACGCUGCUCCCGGGUAACACCGCUCCUGCGCAGUCUGCACUGGCUACCUGUGGUCUUUCGGGUGCGCUUCAAGGUUCUGGUUACCACCUUCAAAGCGCUCCAUGGCUUAGGGCCCGGGUACUUACGGGACCGCCUGCUGUUACCUUUUGCCUCCCAUCGACCCGUACGCUCCCACAGAGAGGGUCUUCUCAGGGUGCCGUCCGCCAAGCAAUGCCGGCUGGCGGCCCCCAGGGGAAGGGCCUUCUCUGUUGGAGCACCUACCCUCUGGAACGAACUUCCCCCCGGUUUGCGCCAAAUAUCUGACCUUCGGACCUUUCGCCGGGAAUUAAAAACUUACUUAUUCAUCCAAGCGGGACUGGCCUGAUUUUUAAAUUUAAAUUUUAAAUUUUAAAUUUUUGUAAUUUUAUAUGGGUUAUUUUAGGUUGGGUCAAUUGAUGGUUUUAAUUCGGCCAUUAUUGAAUAUGUUUUUUAAAUUGUUAUUUUAACUUUGUAUAUUUUAUUGUUUUUAUCUUUGGCUGUACACCGCCCUGAGUCCUUCGGGAGAAGGGCGGUAUAAAAAUUUAAAUAAAUAAAUAAAUAAUCAUGUUUUUCAGUCAGAAUGAAGGCACAUUUGAUCUCAAGUGAUCCCUUUUAAGUGCAGUAGCUCCAUGUGAAAGCUGACUCAUGAUCAUGUUAUGACAAUGGCAAUGUUAUACUGAAAUCCAGGACUGGUAAAGUUUAUGGCUUUCUCAAUUUGCUGAUGAUUUUGUUCUUUCUUAAACUUGGCCAGGCAUUUGACCAGAUCCACACCUUUGCCAGGCCUUGCUGUUCCACUUACAUCUGUUCAUUGCAUCUUCCCUGUCUUCUCUGGGUAUGCAAGUAGAACAAGGAACUGAAAUAGCAUCUUCCAUUCACCUGGCCUUCUCCCCAGAGAGACAGACUCUGAGUCACAGAUGUGCUAUUUUUCUCAGCUGGGGACCACACUUGACAUUGAGUGCCAUGGUGGGCAAUGUGCUAAACAAAGUAGAUGGGGCCAGGAAAACACUGUGGGCGAGGUAAGACCAACAAUUAAAUUUAACAUUUAAUUUACAAUUCAGGAAAAAAUAAAGCUGAGAUGAUUAGUCCCAAUGCGUUCCACAAUUUUCUACUUUCUACUUCUUUUUUACUUCUGCCAUAUUAAAAACAUAUACUUUAUUUUUCAUCAGCUGAUGUCUCCAAGUCACAAUUGAAGGUCAGUUUAGACGCAAAGUAUUGGCUCCUGCCACAACUAUGGAAGGAGUCUGAAUAGGUCACUCUUAUCUCAAGAAAACAUAGUGGUAGCCAAACACAACAACUAAGUCAACUAAGUCCCUGUGCUUGUCACCUUCUCCAGCCUUCCUUACAAACAUACUUGUGCCCUUUCCCCCCUUUUGUUGCAUGGGCUUCAUCAUAACAAAUCCUUUGCCACACCACCUAGCUGGUGAGCAGUGCCAGUGAAACAAGUGAGAAAAAAGACUCCAAUACCCCCCUUGGAGUCUGGUACCUGCUCCUCAGUUAUCAUGAUUUAAAAAAAGCCUCUGAGCAAAAUUCCUCAGCCAACCCAAGAAUGCCAUUUGGAACAAGGGAGGAAAGGCUGGAGAAGAAAGUACUGCAAAUAAAUGAAAGUUUGCACUCUCAAAACAAACACAUGUCCUAUUCCUUUUCUAAAGGAAGAAUAUUUUCUGAUCUUCUUUUAGGAUUUAAUUGAAGCCUGAGAGGCUGCAGAUUCAUGGAGAUGUGACUCUAGAAUAAGAUAGGACAUUCAUAUUUGUACAUCUCUUGACCUCCUCAUUAGUGAAUUCGUUUAAAAACACGAUAUUGUUCAUAUUGUGCAGUGAAUAAAGUGAAAUUCACUUUAUUGCUGUAAAAUAUUUAUACAAUAAAUUUUGUAUUAUCAAAUUGAAUCAAAAUCAUGGGAAAAAUACAUACUAAUUCUACUGCAUGGUAUUAAACAAUGUAAUAGGCCAGAUUAACUUCCUGAAGUAGGUUUACAUAGUGUUAUAGUUCCAAAUUGGCUGUUGUUGUUGUUCUUCUACUAUUACUAUUACUACUUCUUCUUCUUCUUCUUCUUCUUCUUCUUCUUCUUCUUCUUCUUCUUCUUCUUCUUCUUCUUCUUCUUCUUCUUCUUCUUCUUCUUCUUCUUCUUCCGCCUCCUCCUCCGCCUCCUCCUCCGCCUCCUCCUCUUCCGCUUUCACUUCCACUUCCACCAUUUUACCAUCUAUUAGAAUUCACAGGAGAUAAUUCACAUUUUUUUGUUACUUCAGAGACUGUCCUGCAUAGCUGCUGUUCAGAUUGAGUUUCAUUGCCACAUAACAUGAACCAUAGUGUUCUGUUCAAUAAAGUCUGUUCAACCAAUAUCCAUGCCCUGGGCAUUUCAUGAGAAAGCAAUCUACAUGCAGAAGAUAAUGAAUGGCUAUUAGACUUCUUGAAUUUCAUUACUUAGGAACUAGAUAGUCUACAGUGGUAGGAUGACAAUAGCAAAAAUAGCUUGAGCUCUCCUAGGCCUGUGCAACCUUCUUGCAGUCCCUCCCAGAUAAAAAAAGGGAAGAGGAAACUAUGCAUCCCCUUGGGGGCAGUGUGUGUACAGUAUGUGGGUGAGGGCAAUAAAGUCCAGCCAUUCCCUUGUCUUUGUUAAUAUGCAAUAGGGAUCACAUUAUUACAUGUAAAAGGCAUUCUCUGCAUUCCAGGGCUUGCAGCUCAUAGUUAAGCUUUAUGGUUCAUUGGUAUGCUGCAUGGUGGUCAAUCUGUUUCUGAAGAAACAUUUCCAUCCUAGGAGGAGAAACCUCUCUGCCUGCAAGAAGAACCUUUAAGACUAAGACUGCUUCUAGCCUGCUGCCAUUAACCAAGCACCAAACAACUCUCAUUUCUUAGUGUUACUUUUCUGCUUCAAUAAUGUCAGUGCAAUGUUAUCUUAUUCUCACACGUUUGUACACCUCUGCACAUCCGUUUGAUACUACUUUUCUCAAGUUGGAGAAGCAACACCUACUAUAUUUCUGUUCAAUAUACAGAGGAGUAUGUCAGGAAACGAGGAAGGGUUGAGGGUAAUCUCAUGUAAAUGUUUCCUUUUAAUUUCCAAGUCGCCCCCCCUCCGCCUACCUGUUAGUCCUCUUCCCCUAGCCAUUUCCAAAAAAUAAAAUCCAUAAUAAAAGGCAGAAAAUGUGUUUUUUACUCCUCUGUUCUACCUAAAAUAUGGUAAUUAAAUUUCAACCACAGAUUAUUGUUGAAAGCAGCCAAAACACAUAAUCAGUUUUGAGGGAUAAAAUAUAAAAUUUUGUAGGUUGAAGAAAAGUUGUUAGGUUUCUAACUCCUAACCAAUGUAAAAAUGUUAAAUUAAUUCAUUAAAUAUGCAUAUAUUUGCAUGUAGCUAAAACUAAAAAUAUUUGUUUAAAAAUAAGGAAAAAACCUUAGAAGAAGCAUAUACUUCCCAUUAGAAGGAUGGAAUGCCUCUUCUAAAAGGAUAGCUACCGUAACAUACAAGAAUAUUGUAUUAUACAUACAAUAACAUACAUACAAGAAUAUUAAUACAUAUAAUAAUAUAAUAAUUAUUAUAUUAUAAUAAUAAUAUAAUAAUUAAGAAUUAUUAAGAAUACAAGAAUAAGUAACAUACAAGAAUAUUGUAUGGUCAAAAUUGGCAAUGCUAUAUCAAAUCCUGUUCCUGUCAAAAGUGGCAUUCCCCAAGGCAGCGUUCUUGGACCAACGCUCUUCAUAUUAUACAUCAACGAUCUCUGCGACCAUAUCACAAGUAAUUGUGUUCUCUUUGCUGACGAUGUCAAACUAUUUAACACCAUCAACAACACAACUACCCUUCAAAAAGACCUUGACUUUGUAUCCGAAUGGUCUAAAACUUGGCAACUCCAAAUCUCAACCAGCAAAUGCUCAGUCUUACAUAUUGGAAAAAAGAACCAAAAGACUAAGUACAAGCUUGAUGGACAGUACCUUACAGAUGAUCCCUACCCUGUUAAAGACCUUGGAGUUUUAAUAUCAAAUGAUCUAAGUGCCAAAGCCCACUGCAACUACAUCACAAAAAAGGCUCUAAAAGUUGUAAACCUAAUCUUACGUAGCUGCUUUUCCAAAAACACUACAUUACUAACCAGAGCAUAUAAAACAUUUGCUAGACCAAUUCUUGAAUACAGCUCGACUGUUUGAAACCCAUACCACAUUUCUGAUAUCAACACAAUUGAACGUGUCCAAAAAUAUUUACAAGAAGAAUUCUCCACUCCUCCGAAUACAACAAAAUACCUUAUGCCACCAGACUUGAAAUCCUGGGUUUAGAAAAUUUAGAACUCCGCCGCCUUCGACAGGAUCUGUGUUUAACUCAUAGAAUCAUCUACUGUAAUGUUCUUCCUGUUGAAAACUUCUUCAGCUUAAAUCACAACAAUACAGGAGCAAACAAUAGAUUUAAACUUAAUGUUAACUGCUUCAAUCUUGAUUGCAGAAAAUAUGACUUCUGUAACAGAGUUGUUAAUGCUUGGAACACAUUACCUGACUCUAUGGUCUCUUCUCAAAAUCCCAAAAUCUUUAACCAAAAACUAUCUACUAUUGACCUCACCCCAUUCCUAAGAGGUCUAUAAGGGGCGUGCAUAAGAGCACAAACGUGCCUACCGUUCCCUGUCCUAUUGUUCCUCUUCAUUAUAUCCAAUUAAUACAGUUAUUACAUACUUAUGCUCAUAUAUAUGCUUAUAUAUUAUAUAGUUAUUUCAUGUUAAUGCUUAUAGUGCUUAUAAUGUAAUGCUUACACUGUUAUGACAAAAAUUAUAUAUAUAUAUAUUUUUCCAGACUUUAGGGUUAAUUUAAGAAGGCAGCUCCAAAAUUUUCACAAAAAUAUACUGUCUUGCCAUUUUGAGGAAGUUCUUAGCAAAGUGAGAAAUUCUGCUUUCACUGAAAUUUCAGCUUUUGCUUAUCCCACUACUGCUCGAUGGUUUUGCCCUUUGUUUACAUAGUUAAUUUCCAUUGUACCCACCUUAAUUGAGUGUUUUUACAUUUUUAAAAUAGUUUUGCCACUUUGACAGUGUUAAAAAAUGUAGGCUUAUUUAUUUUAUUAAAUAAAUAGAUGUACUAUAGAAGUGUUGCUUUGUUCACUUUGUAAUAAAACCUUCAGUCAAGAUUAUAUGAUACAAGCAACCAGUAUCAGUGCUAAUUCAAUGCCUGAGAAUACAUUUCAACCUUCAGUUUUCUCUUAUUUGGUUCAAACCCACU